UAAUACGGAGGUUGCAAGCGUUGUUCGGAAUAACUGGGCGUAAAGGGAGCGCAGGCGGCUUGGUAAGUCUAAAGUGAAAUUCCAGGGCUCAACCCUGGACGUGCUUUGGAUACUGCCUGGCUUGAGUACGUGAGAGGAGAUUGGAAUUCCAGGUGUAGCGGUGAAAUGCGUAGAUAUCUGGAGGAACACCGGUGGCGAAAGCGGAUCUCUGGCACGUUACUGACGCUGAGGCUCGAAAGCAUGGGGAGCAAACGGGAUUAGAUACCCCGGUAGUCCAUGCCGUAAACGUUGUGCGCUAGGUGUAGGAGGUAUCGACCCCUUCUGUGCCGCAGCUAACGCAUUAAGCGCACCGCCUGGGGAGUACGGUCGCAAGACUG
rnacentral:rRNA from 1 species